UACGAAGGGGGCUAGCGUUGCUCGGAAUCACUGGGCGUAAAGGGUGCGUAGGCGGACUCUUAAGUCAGGGGUGAAAGCCUGAGGCUCAACCUCAGAACUGCCUUUGAUACUGAGAGUCUCGAGACCGGAAGAGGUAAGUGGAACUGCGAGUGUAGAGGUGAAAUUCGUAGAUAUUCGCAAGAACACCAGUGGCGAAGGCGGCUUACUGGUCCGGUUCUGACGCUGAGGCACGAAAAGCGUGGGGAGCAAACAGG
rnacentral:rRNA from 1 species